rnacentral:rRNA from 1 species
AUUGAACGCUGGCGGAAUGCUUUACACAUGCAAGUCGAACGGCAGCACGGGUGCUUGCACCUGGUGGCGAGUGGCGAACGGGUGAGCAAUACAUCGGAACGUACCCAGUCGUGGGGGAUAACGUAGCGAAAGUUACGCUAAUACCGCAUACGUCCUGAGGGAGAAAGCGGGGGACCGUAAGGCCUCGCGCGAUUGGAGCGGCCGAUGGCGGAUUAGCUAGCUGGUGGGGUAAAGGCCUACCAAGGCGACGAUCCGUAGCGGGUCUGAGAGGACGGCCCGCCACACUGGAACUGAGACACGGUCCAGACUCCUACGGGAGGCAGCAGUGGGGAAUUUUGGACAAUGGGCGAAAGCCUGAUCCAGCCAUUCCGCGUGAGUGAAGAAGGCCUUCGGGUUGUAAAGCUCUUUCGGCAGGGAAGAAACGGCUUGGGAUAAUACCCCGGGCUAAUGACGGUACCUGAAGAAGAAGCACCGGCUAACUACGUGCCAGCAGCCGCCGUAA